GUUUUAGGAUUAGGGUCUUUUUUCGUCUCUCGUCCGCCUUCGAAUUUAGGGUUUCUUCUUCUCUUGAAAUCGCCGCCCCUCUCACUGUAUCCGCCCCUCCUCUCUUAUACUCACUAUGUUAGGGUUUUUAGUUGUGCCAAAGAGAUCCAAAGGGGUAUCUUCUGUGUUGCUUUAAGGCGUCCAGACUUUGGUCUGUCUCAUUUGAUACUACGAUCUGGAAACGGUAAUACUAUCUACGCACUUUCUUAAUCUACUUUGUCUCAUUUCCAUUCCGGGUAUUUUUCUGAAUUUUCUACAGCUUUGCUAAUUACCUGUAUUUUUUACUGCAGUGAAAAUUAGCAACAAUUCAUGGGCAACUUCGGUUAUUUGCAAAGCUUUGGUGGUGCGACUUUGUUAUGGAUUUGUUGCAGAUUGGUUCAGGUUAGAAUGCCCUCUAAUUUCGACAUACACAUAAGCAACUUUGGUAAUAUAGCCAAGAAAAAUAGGAGUGCAAUUUGAGGGAGAUAAGCUUCGAGCAUUGUCUUCAAAGCGGGGAUAUCCACAACUGGUUUUAGGAAUGGGAGAAGCUCCAACAAAUUCCUCAGAGUCAUGAAUGCAGAUAUGAAUGUGACGGUACUUAUGUAAAAGAAUAUGGCAAGUGCAACAAUGAAAUACGCCAAGUACUGCCUGUAUUCUUAAUUUUCAAAUCAGGCCAUAGUAAUUGACAGGGUUCAAGAGC
rnacentral:lncRNA from 1 species